rnacentral:tRNA from 1 species
CGGAGCGUAGCGCAGCCUGGUAGCGCACCUGCAUGGGGUGCAGGGGGUCGGAGGUUCAAAUCCUCUCGCUCCGA